CGGCACGGGUGAGUAACACGUAUCCAACCUGCCGUCUACUCUUGGCCAGCCUCCUGAAAGGAAGAUUAAUCCAGGAUGGCAUCAUGAGUUCACAUGUCCGCAUGAUUAAAGGUAUUUUCCGGUAGACGAUGGGGAUGCGUUCCAUUAGAUAGUAGGCGGGGUAACGGCCCACCUAGUCAACGAUGGAUAGGGGUUCUGAGAGGAAGGUCCCCCACAUUGGAACUGAGACACGGCCCAA
rnacentral:rRNA from 1 species